rnacentral:sRNA from 1 species
GCUGGGUGUGGGGGUGCACACCUGUCAUCCCAGCAGCUCAGGAGGCUGAGGCAGGAGGAUCGUCAGGUGGAGGCCAGCCUCAGCCACUUAGCAACUCAGUGACAUCCUGUCUCUA